CACUUUGUUAUAAAGCAGAAACUAACACACCAUUGUAAAGCAAUUAUACCCCAAUAAAGAUGUUAAAAAAAAAAAAGAAUAAAAUACAAAUACCGUAUGCUAACACAUAUAUAUGGAAUUUAAGAAAAAAAAUAUGUUAUGAAGAACCUAGGGGUAAGACAGGAAUAAAGACACAGACCUACUAGAGAAUGGACUUGAGGAUAUGGGGAGGGGGAAGGGUGAGCUGUGACAAAGCGAGAGAGAGGCAUGGACAUAUAUACACUACCAAACGUAAGGUAGAUAGCUAGUGGGAAGCAGCCACAUAGCACAGGGAGAUCAGCUCAGUGCUUUGUGACCACCUAGAAGGGUGGGAUAGGGAGGGUGGGAGGGAGGGAGACGCAAGAGGGAAGAGAUGGGAACAUACGUAUAUGUAUAACUGAUUCACUUUGUUAUAAAGCAGAAACUAACACACCAUUGUAAAGCAAUUAUACUCUAAUAAAGAUGUACAAAUUUUAAAAAAUAAAAGAAUUAAAUAAAAAAAAAAACCCAGCAUAUACUUCUUUCUUCCAUGAGAUUAAAAUGAACAAUUAGAAAUUCCAAGAAUAACAAAAAUGAACAAAAA